rnacentral:rRNA from 1 species
GACGAACGCUGGCGGCGUGCUUAACACAUGCAAGUCGAGCGGAAAGGCCCUGCUUUUGUGGGGUGCUCGAGUGGCGAACGGGUGAGUAACACGUGAGUAACCUGCCCUUGACUUUGGGAUAACUUCAGGAAACUGGGGCUAAUACCGGAUAGGAGCUCCUGCUGCAUGGUGGGGGUUGGAAAGUUUCGGCGGUUGGGGAUGGACUCGCGGCUUAUCAGCUUGUUGGUGGGGUAGUGGCUUACCAAGGCUUUGACGGGUAGCCGGCCUGAGAGGGUGACCGACCACAUUGGGACUGAGAUACGGCCCAGACUCCUACGGGAGGCAGCAGUGGGGAAUAUUGCACAAUGGGCGGAAGCCUGAUGCAGCAACGCCGCGUGCGGGAUGACGGCCUUCGGGUUGUAAACCGCUUUCGCCUGUGACGAAGCGUGAGUGACGGUAAUGGGUAAAGAAGCACCGGCUAACUACGUG